rnacentral:rRNA from 2 species
ACACACCGCCCGUCACUCUCCCCGAGUUUUAUAAAAUUACAUUUAUAAUAAACUUUGCUAACAAAGGGGAGGCAAGUCGUAACAUGGUAAGUGUACCGGAAGGUGUACUUGGACAAACCAAGAUGUAGCUAAAAUAGUAAAGCAUCUCUCUUAC